rnacentral:rRNA from 1 species
UACGUAGGGGGCAAGCGUUGUCCGGAUUUAUUGGGCGUAAAGAGCGUGUAGGCGGCCAGAUAGAUCAGCUGUGAAAACUCGAGGCUCAACCUCGAGAUGUCGGCUGAAACCAUCUGGCUAGAGUCCGGAAGAGGAGAAUGGAAUUCCCGGUGUAGCGGUGAAAUGCGCAGAUAUCGGGAAGAACACCCGUGGCGAAGGCGGUUCUCUGGGACGGUACUGACGCUGAGACGCGAAAGCGUGGGGAGCGAACAGG